rnacentral:rRNA from 6 species
GAUGAGAUUUCCCAUUUCUUCGGAAAGUAAGAUCCCUGAAAGAUGAUCAGGUAGAUAGGUUUGGAGUGGAAGUGUAGCGAUACAUGGAGCGGACAAAUACUAAUCGAUCGAGGACUUAACCAAAA